UCUCAACUUAUCAUUUAUACACGUGUAUAACACAAUGUUACACAAACAUUUGGUAACAAGCAUAAUAUUAAAAAAAAAUUUGGAGUUUGAAACUAAAAUAGGAACAGUUUCUCAUUUGCUCAGGUCAUUGUUUUUCAGUAGUUCUUUGAGGUUCAACUGGACUAACUUAUUUUAACACAGG